GCGGUCUGUAGCAGUUGAGGGCGGUCUGUAACAGUCUGUAACAGCCGAGGGCGGUCUGUAGCAGUCUGUAGCAGUCGAGGGCGGUCUGUAACAGCCGAGGGCGGUCUGUAGCAGUUGAGGGCGGUCUGUAGCAGUCGAGGGUGGUCUGGGGUGGUCUGUAACAGCCGAGGGCGGUCUGUAGCAGUUGAGGGCGGUCUGUAGCAGUAGAGGGUGGUCUGUAGCAGUUGAGGGCGGUCUGUAACAGUCUGUAGCAGCCGAGAGCGGUCUGUAACAGUCUGUAGCAGUUGAGGGCGGUCUGUAGCAGUCGAGGGCGGUCUGUAGCAGUCGAGGGCGGUCUGUAGCAGUUGAGGGCGGUCUGUAACAGUCUGUAGCAGCCGAGAGCGGUCUGUAACGGUCUGUAGCAUUUGAGGGCGGUCUGUAGCAGUCGAGGGCGGUCUGUAGCAGUUGAGGGUGGUCUGUAUCAGUCGAGGGCGGUCUGUAGCAGUCGAGGGCGGUCUGUAGCAGUCUGUUGCAGCCGAGGGCGGUCUGUAGCAGCCGAGGGCGGUCUGUAACAGCUGAGGGCGGUCUGUAACAGUCUGUAGCAGUUGAGGGCGGUCUGUAGCAGUCGAGGGCGGUCUGUACCAGUCUGUAGCAGCCAAGGGCGGUCUGUAGCAGCCAAGGGCGGUCUGUAGCAGUCUGUAGCAGUCGAGGGCGGUCUGUAGCAGUUGAGGGCGGUCUGUAGCAGUUGAGGGCGGUCUGUAACAGUCUGUAGCAGUUGAGGGCGGUCUGUAACAGUCUGUAACAGCCGAGGGCAGUCUGUAACAGUCGAGGGCGGUCUGUAACAGUCUGUAACAGCCGAGGGCGGUCUGUAGCAGUCGAGGGCGGUCUGUAGCAGUUGAGGGCGGUCUGUAGCAGUCGAGGGCGGUCUGUAGCAGUCGAGGGCGGUCUGUAGCAGUCUGUUGCAGCCGAGGGCGGUCUGUAGCAGCCGAGGGCGGUCUGUAACAGUCUGUAGCAGUCGAGGGCGGUCUGUAGCAGCCGAGGGCGGUCUGUAACAGCUGAGGGCGGUCUGUAACAGUCUGUAGCAGUUGAGGGCGGUCUGUAGCAGUCGAGGGCGGUCUGUACCAGUCUGUAGCAGCCAAGGGCGGUCUGUAGCAGCCAAAGGCGGUCUGUAGCAGUCUGUAGCAGUCGAGGGCGGUCUGUAGCAGUUGAGGGCGGUCUGUAGCAGUUGAGGGCGGUCUGUAGCAGUUGAGGGCGGUCUGUAACAGUCUGUAGCAGUUGAGGGCGGUCUGUAGCAGUCGAGGGCGGUCUGUAACAGUCUGUAACAGCCGAGGGCGGUCUGUAACAGUCGAGGGCGGUCUGUAACAGUCUGUAACAGCCGAGGGCGGUCUGUAACAGCCGAGGGCGGUCUGUAACAGUCUGUAACAGCCGAGGGCGGUCUGUAGCAGUCGAGGGCGGUCUGUAACAGUCGAGGGCGGUCUGUAACAGUCUGUAACAGCCGAGGGCGGUCUGUAACAGCCGAGGGCGGUCUGUAACAGUCUGUAACAGUCGAGGGCGGUCUGUAGCAGUCGAGGGCGGUCUGUAACAGUCGAGGGCGGUGGGAGACCUUAUAUACGUUCACUUUAACCGCAAGCAAUUCAAAAUGUUUUGGCUUUGGUAAUCGAGGGAAUUGGAUGGUCAGUCCUUGCAUCCAUAGCUCUGUCUAAUGGAUUUGAGUGUGGUUACAUUUCUUCAGGCCCAUCCUUUUUAUUUUUUUACUUUUUAUUUCCCCUUUAUUUAAUCAGGUAGGCCAGUUGAGAACAAGUUCUCAUUUACAACUGCAACCUGGCCAAGAUAAAGCAAAGCAGUACGACACAAACAACAAUACAGAGUUACACAUGGAAUAAACAAAUGUACAGUCA
rnacentral:lncRNA from 1 species